CAAAACAAAGAAAGUUUCCAUUCUAUAUCGAGUCGAGCAUCCAUUUUCUCAGAUCAAACAAGUGAAACGCUAGGUUGCCACUUCCCAACCGCCGCACUAACUCCAUUCCAAAUCCCCCACACACCAUCUAAUCAUCAUGCAAACGCUAUUGCUGCCAGCAACUCGCUCCGGGAAUUGUUCGGUGGUGAUGGGUCCCGUCCCCUCUCACCGUCACCGACCACCGCUCACUCUCUCUCCUUCGAAUUUUCUCGCGUCACUCAAAACUCGGAAAGCAAAGCCUCUCCUGUCCCCCUUCGCUUCCAACGAUCCUCUCAAUGUUAAAAGAUAUAAGCUUUUUUUGAGCAGAGUCUCUCGUUCCCCAGUUUCACCUAGUUUUACCUCCCCUAAUGAUGAUAGUGACGAAGCAAAGCUCGCUCAGGUUUCGAAGAGGUUAGAGAGGACGUCGAGGUACUUUAUGCGAUUGGGCAAUUUAGGGUUUUGGGGACAGCUAGUAUGCACUGUGGUGUCAGCGGUGAUACUUUCAUUUUCUGUUGUUAUUACUGGGAAAAUCACAUCACCUGCUGCUUUCUAUGCCACUGCCGGUGGAAUUGUGGCUGCAUUUAUAUCAGUUUUUUGGUCGUUUGGGUAUAUUAGACUUUCUGAGAAGCUCAAGAGAACAGCUAAUGAUCCUUCAAAGGCUCCUUCUCGUGCUGAUGUUGUGAAAAGCUUGAAAAAUGGCAUAUUUCUGAAUCUUCUAGGAAUGGGUGCUGCUAUUCUUGGUAUGCAAGCAAAAGUGGGCUUACUAGUCGCUAAGGCUCUUACUUCAUCCACAAAUCCUUAUUACCAAGGAAUUUCUCCUGGCUAUGGUCCAGUUCUUGCAUUGGAUGUAUUCCUGGUGCAGGUACUUAAUCUAAUUUGAGUAUCUGUAAUUUUAACUGAAUUAGGCUUUUGUUUGUGGAUUUGAGACUUUAGUUACUGCAUUAGUUUGCCCCUCAAGACACCCCUUCCUCUUUCCCAAACUAGGAGAAGAAAGAAAAUGGAAGUUGAAAAGGAAGAGGAGCCUGUCCCCUCAAAAAUUUGAAGUCCCUGCUUUUCAGUUACCAGUCAAUAUUCAGAAAGACCUGCCAGCAAUGUGCAGGUCGUUUUGUAUGUACAGAGAGUGACAUUAACUGGGUCUGUUAGAUUGAUAGCAACCAAUUGCAGAUACCUUGAAGAACAUGGUUCUCCAUAUGGAUGUAUAAAUGCAAGUAAAUUUAUAGCAUAUGGUUCUCCAUACAGGCGUCAGCUAACACUAUCCUUUCUCAUUUUCUGGGGCUUGUGUUC